CCUACGGGGGUCUGCAGUGGGGAAUAUUGGGCAAUGGAGGCAACUCUGACCCAGCAACGCCGCGUGAAUGAUGAAGGUCUUCGGAUUGUAAAGUUCUGUGAUGGGGGAUGAACACAAUGACGGUACCCCAAUAGCAAGCCACGGCUAACUACGUGCCAGCAGCCGCGGUAAUACGUAGGUGGCAAGCGUUAUCCGGAAGGACUGGGCGUAAAGGGGGCGUAGGUGGUUUAGUAAGUUGGCGGUGUAAUUCCGGGGCUCAACCUCGGCGCUACCGCCAAAACUAUUAGACUAGAGUGCAGGAGGGGUAAGUGGAAUUCCUAGUGUAGCGGUGGAAUGCGUAGAUAUUAGGAGGAACAUCAGGGGCGAAGGCGACUUACUGGACUGUAACUGACACUGAGGCACGAAAGCGUGGGGAGCAAACAGGAGUAGAUACCCGGGUAGUC
rnacentral:rRNA from 1 species